UAGGUAAUUGGCCAGCGCCGCGGUAAUACGUAUGGAGCAAGCGUUAUCCGGAUUUACUGGGUGUAAAGGGAGUGUAGGUGGCCAGGCAAGUCAGAAGUGAAAGCCCGGGGCUCAACCCCGGGACUGCUUUUGAAACUGCAGGGCUAGAGUGCAGGAGGGGCAAGUGGAAUUCCUAGUGUAGCGGUGAAAUGCGUAGAUAUUAGGAGGAACACCAGUGGCGAAGGCGGCUUGCUGGACUGUAACUGACACUGAGGCUCGAAAGCGUGGGGAGCAAACAGG
rnacentral:rRNA from 1 species